AUACGUAGGUGGCAAGCGUUGUCCGGAUUUACUGGGUGUAAAGGGCGUGUAGGCGGAGAUGCAAGUCAGGAGUGAAAUCUAGGGGCUCAACCCCUAAACUGCUUUUGAAACUGUAUCCCUUGAGUAUCGGAGAGGCAGGCGGAAUUCCUAGUGUAGCGGUGAAAUGCGUAGAUAGUAGGAGGAACACCAGUGGCGAAGGCGGCCUGCUGGACGACAACUGACGCUGAGGCGCGAAAGCGUGGGGAGCAAACAGGAUUAGAUGCCCUGGUAGUCCACGCUGUAAACGAUGAAUACUAGGUGUGGGGGGACUGACCCCCUCCGUGCCGCAGUUAACACAAUAAGUAUUCCACCUGGGGAGUUCGAUCGCAAGAUUGAAACUCAAAUGAAUUGACGGGG
rnacentral:rRNA from 1 species